rnacentral:rRNA from 1 species
GUGGGGAAUUUUGGACAAUGGGCGCAAGCCUGAUCCAGCAAUGCCGCGUGCAGGAAGAAGGCCUUCGGGUUGUAAACUGCUUUUGUACGGAACGAAACGGUUCUCUCUAAUACAGGGAGCUAAUGACGGUACCGUAAGAAUAAGCACCGGCUAACUACGUGCCAGCAGCCGCGGUAAUACGUAGGGUGCAAGCGUUAAUCGGAAUUACUGGGCGUAAAGCGUGCGCAGGCGGUUUUGUAAGACAGAGGUGAAAUCCCCGGGCUCAACCUGGGAGCUGCCUUUGUGACUGCAAGGCUGGAGUGCGGCAGAGGGGGAUGGAAUUCCGCGUGUAGCAGUGAAAUGCGUAGAUAUGCGGAGGAACACCGAUGGCGAAGGCAAUCCCCUGGGCCUGCACUGACGCUCAUGCACGAAAGCGUGGGGAGCAAACAGGAUUAGAUACCCCUGUAGUCC